rnacentral:rRNA from 1 species
AGAUUGAACGCUGGCGGCAUGCUUUACACAUGCAAGUCGAACGGCAGCACGGGGGCAACCCUGGUGGCGAGUGGCGAACGGGUGAGUAAUAUAUCGGAACGUACCCGGAAACGGGGGAUAACGUAGCGAAAGUUACGCUAAUACCGCAUAUGCCCUGAGGGGGAAAGCGGGGGAUUCGUAAGAACCUCGCGUUUUCGGAGCGGCCGAUAUCGGAUUAGCUAGUAGGUGAGGUAAAGGCUCACCUAGGCGACGAUCCGUAGCUGGUCUGAGAGGACGACCAGCCACACUGGAACUGAGACACGGUCCAGACUCCUACGGGAGGCAGCAGUGGGGAAUUUGGACAAUGGCGCAAGCCUGAUCAGCCAUGCCGCGUGAGUGAAGAAGGCCUUCGGGUUGUAAAGCUCUUUCAGUCCGAAGAAAACGCACGGUUAAUAACCUGUGUGGAUGACGUACCGGAAGAAGAAGACACCGGCUAACUACGUAGCCAGCAGCCGC